AAUAGAUACCCCGGUAGUCCACGCCGUAAACGAUGAGUGCUAAGUGUUGGGGGGUUUCCGCCCCUCAGUGCUGCAGCUAACGCAUUAAGCACUCCGCCUGGGGAGUACGGUCGCAAGACUGAAACUCAAAGGAAUUGACGGGGGCCCGCACAAGCGGUGGAGCAUGUGGUUUAAUUCGAAGCAACGCGAAGAACCUUACCAGGUCUUGACAUCCCGGUGACCACUAUGGAGACAUAGUUUCCCCUUCGGGGGCAACGGUGACAGGUGGUGCAUGGUUGUCGUCAGCUCGUGUCGUGAGAUGUUGGGUUAAGUCCCGCAACGAGCGCAACCCUUAUUCUUAGUUGCCAUCAUUCAGUUGGGCACUCUAAGGAGACUGCCGGUGAUAAACCGGAGGAAGGUGGGGAUGACGUCAAAUCAUCGUGCCCCUUAUGACCUGGGCUACACACGUGCUACAAUGGACGGUACAAACGGUUGCCAACCGCGAGGGGGAGCUAAUCCGAUAAAACCGUUCUCAGUUCGGAUUGUAGGCUGCAACUCGCCUACA
rnacentral:rRNA from 1 species